rnacentral:rRNA from 1 species
AGCAGCCGCGGUAAUUCCAGCUCCAAUAGCGUAUAUUAAAGUUGCUGCAGUUAAAAAGCUCGUAGUUGAAUUUCGGGACCGAUAUAUCGGUCGUGCCUCGGUACGUACUGGUAUUUUCGGUUUCUCCCUUCUGACGAACCUUGAUGUCAUUAAUUUGGUGUCUUGGGGAAUCAGGACUGUUACUUUGAAAAAAUUAGAGUGUUUAAAGCAGGCUCACGCUUGAAUACAUUAGCAUGGAAUAAUGAAAUAGGACGUUUGAUUCUAUUUUGUUGGUUUCUAGGAUCGACGUAAUGAUUAAUAGGGAUAGUUGGGGGCAUUAGUAUUCAAUUGUCAGAGGUGAAAUUCCUGGAUUUAUUGAAGACUAACUACUGCGAAAGCAUUUGCCAAGGAUGUUUUCAUUAAUCUAAGAACGAAAGUUAGGGAUCGAAGACGAUCAGAUACCGUCGUAGUCCUAACCAUAAACUAUGCCGACUACGGGAUCGGAUGAUGUUAAUUUUUAAUGUACUCAUUCGGCGCCUUA